UACGUAGGGUGCGAGCGUUGUCCGGAAUUAUUGGGCGUAAAGAGCUCGUAGGCGGUUUGUUGCGUCGGCUGUGAAGACUUCACGCUUAACGUGGAGCCUGCAGCCGAUACGGGCAGGCUAGAGUUCGGUAGGGGAGACUGGAAUUCCUGGUGUAGCGGUGAAAUGCGCAGAUAUCAGGAGGAACACCGGUGGCGAAGGCGGGUCUCUGGGCCGAUACUGACGCUGAGGAGCGAAAGCGUGGGGAGCGAACAGG
rnacentral:rRNA from 1 species